AAUUUGAAAUAGUUAAUGCCUUCAAUUUACUCUUCUCCGUGGACCAUAAUAAAUUUAAAUGAGAAAAUGAUGUGUUAACAUAUACUGAAGUAUCUGAUAACUCAUGCUGCACUGAUGAGGAAACAAAUACCAAAAAUUCAGAGUAAAUUCUACCAGGCCACACAGCGAGGUCUGAUAGAGCCAGGAGAGACUUACGAAAUGCAGACUCCCCGACUAGUGUUCUAUCAGCUAGACCUCCAAAUGAGCCUCACAAAUGUAGGAGGAGCAGAAAUGAAAAAUAAGUUCAAUUUUCUGUGAAGAGGUUUAAAGAAAAGAUAUUAGCAGAAGGAAGUCAGUUUGGGUUUUUGAGACUGAGUACAUUCAUCUGAGCUGUUAGCUGCUACGCUCCACUGCAUCCUCCUAUGAUCUGCCUGGUCCAAACCCCUGGAG